rnacentral:lncRNA from 1 species
AGCCUUUGUUUCUCUACCUGCCAUUUAUGACUUAGAUCGUGAGCUCCUUGCAAUGGGGAGCGACUUAAUACAUAGUGGUUGAGGGCCUUUUGAAUAUUUUUAAAUGAAAAUGUCAUUUUCUUAGAAACAGUCUCUCAUUAGAUGGGAGUAAGAGCAUGCACAAGGACAAUAACUGAGGUGCUGUGAUGCCAAGCACUCUUACUUUGCAGUGUCUUGUGCGCAGCCCUGUUGCUAAUGAACUACACUGCCUGUAUGAUCCUAAUUUUAACAAACUGCAAAAAGCCCCAAACCUCUGCCUCUGCUGAAUUCUGCGGACACAGAAAGGAUUGAGCAUCUUAAAACAUCAAGGGCAGUACAUGCUCAGUAUUCCAGUUGGUUUGAUGGUCGGUUUUGGACAGACUGGGGAGAGUGAAGCAGCUGCCUGGUCUGUGCUGGUUAGUGAAAGCCCGGGGAGGCACAUGCUGUUCCCUUUUGCAGAGCUCAUCUUUCUUUGCUCUUCGCACUGUGCUGUUUGGAAUGUGGCUUUUCAGUCCUUCUGUUACGACUGAACGACUUUGCUUGCCAGGGAGAAGUGGAAGAGAUUGAACUGCAAAACAAAAAUCUGUGUAAAGAAAAUGAGGAGCUGAAAGCAAGCUGUGCAAGUCUGGAGAAACAAAAGAUGGAUCUGCAGAAAGAGCUCAACAAGAUGCAGGAGCUGGAGAAUAGUUUAGAGUCUCUAAAGAGCAACACAGAGAAACUGGAGCUGGAGCUGAAUUCCCUGAAAAAGGAAAAUAAACAUCUAAAGGAGCUGGAUGACUGCAGAGAGGAAGAACUGCACCAACUCAACUUGCAAAUUCAGAAUGUGACCUCUGACAAGGAACGCCUGGAAACCAGACUGAAAUCAGCCCUGGAUCACAUGGACCAGCUGCAGUCUCAAGUGUUGAAUUAUGAGAAAGAAGUGGAAAGCCUGUCUGUCGUGGACCGUGACAAGACCGAGGAGCUUGAAAGUUUGAAGGAAGAGAAUCGCCAGUUACGCGCGAUUGGAAUUCAACAGCAACAAAACCAGGACUUAAUGAAAGAACUUGAGGAGCAGAAGCGUUUGUUUCAGAUUCUGCAGGCAAAAAAGAAUGAAGCUGAUGAGGAAAAUCAGGUGAGAACUUGGCACAACUCCCUGCAUUGCAUACGACGCUCGCUGAUCUCCCAAUCUAGUGUUCAGUUCCAUUAACCCUUACACCAAAUGGAUCACUAAUUGUGCCUGCUCGAGGACCAUCACCGAAGCCAGGCUGUCUGCAGGCACAUACAAACGACCGUGUGCGUACACUCGCAGUGUGUUGUUGCUGCCAUGACUGUACAGCCUCUGAGGAAGGGCCCAAAAACUGCCACCUUUUUCCCCCGCCACAGAAUAGACUGGUUUAUCCAUAAUAGCGUGGGGAUUUUCAAAACCUCCGAAUGAUAGCUUCAUUCUGACACCACUGAAAUGAAUGGACUUACUUGUUUGAAUGGACAUAGCCUUUUUGUCCAGUCUAAACAAUGACUGCUCAGUUUUGUUCCCUACUCUGCAUGACUUCAGGAUAGUCUUCUGUCUUUUAAUAUGUAUUAUUCUAUUGUGAUCAUCUUGUCUGCCUUCCUGAGCAGGCCACAGAAUAGAUCCAUGCCCUUCCUUACCUCACUUCCCCAUUCUAUCAAGCAGGACUAAUGCUGAGCUACCUAAAAGAAGUUCAGAGCAAUUUUAAUUCUGAUAUACAAGGAUCUAUCUUAAUGCAAAGCAUUACUUUUCUCUGAAAAGCGUCUCUUUUCAAGACAAAGAAAGUACUUUUCUCUCCUGAGCGUCUGGAAAUUCAUUCUGCCCUUCUGUCCCUUUGCAGAAACUGAGGGAACAGAAUGAACUGCUGAGGCAUCUCUUGCAGGCUGGAGAGGUUUCUUCCUCCUCUGCUGUUUCACAAGCUCAAGCUCCAGGUCCAGGUCCAGAAGCAGGCGGCCUUCUGUUUGGAAAUCCAUAUUGUGGUGAGAUUACUUGGCAUUCUCUCUGUAAGCGCAAAUACACGGCAGUUAAGAGUCUCAGCAAAUUCUCCUCCCUCUCGAAUUAAAUGCUGUAGAACAGACAUUAUUAGCAGCACCUCUGUGCAGCUUUGCUUGUGUGCAGAUGACUUGGCAGCUGGAAAAUGCUGCCAGGUGUUAAGAGCUGACUUAAGUGAUCAGCUGUCUGCUCAUUUUCUGCCAAGACAGACAACUAUUAGCUAGUUUAUUCAGCUGCGGGACAGCUAGUUCUGUGGCUUAUGUCCAGUUUCCAUAGUCCUAAAUAUAGAGGUUUAGAUCCAGAGCCACAUCCUCAUGUUUCAAGAAUUACUAGUUAUCAGCACAUUACAUUGUUAAUCAUUUUGUUGUGGCUAAAUUGACUUCUUUUUUUCCAGCAGCAGGAGCAAACCUGGGGGCAGGAGCUGCAGACUUAGUAAGUAAAGUGGACACGACUGGACAUGAAUUUGUCAUUUAUGGACACGAAUUAGUGGUUUGUAACUAAUUGUAACUAAUUAAUGUAACUAAGUUUUGUAACUAAUUGUCUGGUUUAGUCCUGGUAAGAUAGUGGACAACAAAAUGGAGCCACAUAUGUUUAACAUACAGAAUUAACAAGACUUAUAUGUGUUAAGGAAGAGAAAGGAAACUCUGUUGACCUUAAUCUUUAAGGAGCAGCUCUUGGCAGCAUCUAAUGUCAGAAUGAGCAGCAUGCAGCUGCUAAAUACCUUAUUUCAUAGUCGAGAUAUGAACAUGUGCUAUGUAGGAUGGAAAGUUAGAGUACCUCUCCGAAGCUUUUGACUUUUAAGUGCUAUUUAGAAAAGCCUGGAGACAUUUGAAAACUUGAGAGUGUUAGAAGUCAGGAAGACUUGUCCAAAAGUGGUAAUACCUGGCUACUAAACUCUUCUGUUUCUUCUCUUUGAACAUAAUUUUUAAACUGACUUCAUUUACAUUUGCUUUGUACUUCAGGCUUCUAUAAGGAAAUGCCCCAUGUGCAAUGAAGUAUUUCCCGAAGAUAUCGAAACCCAUCAGUACGAGGCCCACGUGCAGAGCCAUCUCCUGGAGUGCCCAAUCUGCCGUGAGACCUUUGUUAAUUCCAAUAAGCAGGUGUAUGAUGACCAUGUUUUUUGUCACAACCUGGAGUAAUUCUGACUUUGUAUCUUCUCUGUAGAGUAAGAGGCUGCCAAAAUCACUGUAUAGGCUUGACUCAUGCUAAUAAGAUCACCCAGACAUGACUGACUGAGCUUUCUGUUCCAUGCAGUACGUGACCAAUGCAUAAAUCAGGGUUAGGCACCCACAUCCUGAAACUGAAUCACCGUAACAAAACUUAAGUCCUGUGUCUUGGAUCAAGUAUAUGUGCUUGUUAAACGAGUUACAAAUCCUCUUAUUAGUAAUAUAGUUGAAUGUGGUACCCAUUCUUUAGAACAGGAUUGACCAUGUAACCGUUCAUCCAGGUAGGGAUCCAAGUGAUGGGAUGUAGUACAGCAGUUUUCUGCACUUGGCUGAAACACCUCUACUAUAAAGGUUUUAUUCUUUAAUAUAGCACUGUGUUUACUAACCAAAGACCAGAAACAUUGUAUAAUCUUUUAGGAUCACACCUUCAGUCCUGCUCAGCUUCUGGAAUGCAGAAGUAAUUAUUAAUAAGUGAAAAAGUCUAAAUAAAAAUACAUCUUUCACUAUCA